UACCCGCAGCACAAGUGGUGGUCAUUAUUAUUGGGCGUAAAGGGCGCGUAGGCGGCUCGGCACGUCCGUUGUGAAAUCGCCCGGCUCAACUGGGCGGGGUCAGCGGAUACGGUCGAGCUUGAGCAAGCUAGGGGGCAAUGGAAUUCCCGGUGUAGUGGUGGAAUGCGUAGAUAUCGGGAGGAACACCAGUGGCGAAGGCGGUUGCCUGGGGCUUUGCUGACGCUGAUGCGCGAAAGCGUGGGGAGCGAUCGGG
rnacentral:rRNA from 1 species